UACAGAGGUGGUAAGCGUUGUUCGGAAUUACUGGGCGUAAAGGGCUCGUAGGCGGCCAACUAAGUCAGACGUGAAAUCCCUCAGCUUAACUGGGGAACUGCGUCUGAUACUGGAUGGCUUGGAUCCGGGAGAGGGAUGCGGAAUUCCAGGUGUAGCGGUGAAAUGCGUAGAUAUCUGGAGGAACACCGGUGGCGAAGGCGGCAUCCUGGACCGGUAUUGACGCUGAGGAGCGAAAGCCAGGGGAGCAAACGGG
rnacentral:rRNA from 1 species